ACUCGAGUUGAGAAAGAGGGCUAGGCCAAGGAUAGGAGGGCUUUCAGGGACUGGGGAAGACGGGUGGAUUAUAGAGCUAGGGGCAGAUCAGAGGUUUGUCCAUUGGGAUUGGGCAUGGACGAGCCUCGACUGGGCCAGCAUUGAUGAAAAAAAAACUUAUCCCAUCGCAUCAUUAACCGGUGUAGGAUUAAAGAUAAGGUCCAGGAUUCGAGUCAAAUCGACCUUCCCUCUCAUCUCAGGGUGA